UAGGGGGCGGUGAGGUAUUUUAUAUUGGCAGAAGGAGGGAAUCCAGCCAUGGCGCGCACACGAAGACUACCCUUUCGGUUGUAAAUAAAAUUUUUAAGGGAGAACACCCCCUUCCGUGGGGGAUUGACGGUGGGUUCCCAAUAAGGAAAGCCCAACUAAUUUUCAGCAGCCGCGGUAAUUAUUAGGGUGCGAGCGUUAUCUGUUAUCAUUUUGUUUAAAGAGUCCGUAGGUGGGCGGUUAAUUAAGUGGUGAAAGUAUUCAGCUCAACCAUAGAAGGGCCAUUGUUUUUAAUUGUCUAGAAUUAGUUUGAAGAGGGUAGAAUAAAUUGUGUAGCGGUGAAAUAAAUAGAUAUAAUUUUGAAUAACAACCGCGAAGGCAGGUCACUAACUGCAUUUUUACUUUGAUGGAGGAAAGAAAGGGGGGGGAACAAAAUUAGAUAACUUCCUAGUUCUCCCCGUCCACAAUGGAUACGAGCUGUCCGUCGUGCAUUGGCAGGCUGGGUGGCCAAGCGAAAGCGUUAAGUAUACCACC
rnacentral:rRNA from 1 species